AUUGAACGCUGGCGGCAUGCCUUACACAUGCAAGUCGAACGGCAGCACGGGAGCAAUCCUGGUGGCGAGUGGCGAACGGGUGAGUAAUAUAUCGGAACAUGCCCAGUCGUGGGGGAUAACGCAGCGAAAGCUGUGCUAAUACCGCAUACGAUCUAGGAUGAAAGCGGGGGAUCGCAAGACCUCGCGCGAUUGGAGCGGCCGAUAUCAGAUUAGCUAGUUGGUGGGGUAAAGGCCCACCAAGGCGACGAUCUGUAGCUGGUCUGAGAGGACGACCAGCCACACUGGAACUGAGACACGGUCCAGACUCCUACGGGAGGCAGCAGUGGGGAAUUUUGGACAAUGGGCGCAAGCCUGAUCCAGCAAUGCCGCGUGCAGGAUGAAGGCCUUCGGGUUGUAAACUGCUUUUGUACGGAACGAAACGGCCCUUUCUAAUACAGGGGGCUAAUGACGGUACCGUAAGAAUAAGCACCGGCUAACUACGUGCCAGCCGCCGCCGUAA
rnacentral:rRNA from 1 species